GACCAGAAUGCCCCUUUGCUUUUUUAUGCCUCCACGUGGAUAGCUUCUUUUCAUUUCUUUGCUGCUUACUAAUGUUACUCUCUUCAAAACGUAUCCGUGUGAGCUUCUUGGAAAAAAACAAAAGCUUUUGUCAUUGAAAACACAACUAUGCUUACUACUAUACUCAACAUGUCAAAUUAUUUUGCUACCUAAAAUCUGAAAAAUCUCUCUUUCUCUGAUUUCUUCUUCUUCCACCUUUCUCCCUCCUCCUCCCUCUAACACAUGUUCGUCUUCCACCUUCCUCCCUCCGUCUCCCUCUAAUAUAUUUUCUGCUUUCUUCCUCUUCAUUUCCCCUUUUCUUCAUCAUCUUCUUCAUUUCCCAAAACGAAACCGACACGGUUAUCAGGUUUUUUUGGAUUUCUGUUUAAAGAUACUGUUAGAUAUUGUGGUUAGUGUUUUUGUGAUUUAUAUGAUGAUUUUGUGGUUUAUAUGAUGAUUUUGUGGUUAGGGUUUUUGUGAUUGUGGUUGAUAUCAUGAUUUUGUGGUUAGGGUUUUGAUGCUACUAUUGGCCAAAUGGAGGUAUGUUGUUCUUUUCAUCUUUGUAACAAAAAUAUGAAUAAUGUUUUCACCAGUUGCUUUUAACAUUCAGAUCUAUGGUGGCAACAAGAGGUUACCGGCGAUUAGUGUGGUGGUGGUGGUAGAAACGGGUUUCCGCCGACGAGUGUGGUGGUGGCCGAAAUCAGAAAGGUUUUGAUGUUAACUGAUUUUGGAAUGUCGAAAGAAAUUGUGUGGGACUACAGAAUAUAUGGCUCUGGAAGGUAAUGAAAUGAUAACCUGAAAGGUAGCACGUCCUGAUUCUGUGCAGGUUUGUUAUAAUGGAUUACCGAUUGAACGCAAUGAUAUGGAGUCAUUGGAUGCAAAGUUUAUAAGGGUUAACAAGAGUUGGGGCAAAUGAAGGUUAGUUAGAGUUUAUUUUCUAAAACGGUUAACUGUUAGUUCAAUUUACUUUUGGAAGUGUUUUGACGGUGUAUGCGAACUGUCUUAAAUUUGAAUGCGGUAUGGUGAUUUGUCCUUGAAUUGUCAACUAUUAUGAGGGUUCGGUCUAUUUUGUGGUCUGGAUGCUUUUGGUUAUGAAUGUCAUUGAAGUUGGUUUAGGGUUGAAUGUGUAAGGAAUUUGAAUUAUGGAUCUGUCAUGGUUUUCUUUUGAAUGUAUGACGGUUGUACGAUUGUUUUGAACCGUUAGGAAUCGUUGGCAGCAUUUUGAAUGUAUGAUGGCAGCAUUUUGGUAGGUGGGCACUAAAAGCUAAAGUGAAUGUAUCUAAAAAAAAUUAUCCACCUGAACUUGCAAUCAGUAUUUUGAAUGUAUGAUUUUUCAGCCUAUCUAAGACUGAAAAAUACAGAUAUAUAAUAUAUUUGCUUCUAUUGGUACUUAGUCAUUGUGUAGGUUAUGAGUUGAACUAUCCCUGGGAAGAAGCCUUUCUUGUGGUCAUCACAGAGCUGAGACACACGGGAAUAUUGGAUAUUUGAAUGUGGAAAGCUGCUGGAGUUAGAGUUGCUUCGUCUUUGCUAAAAUUAUAUUUCAAAUACUGUUUUCUUUCUCUUAUAAUGAAUAUGAAGUAACAAGUGAAAAAUUGAUUGAAAACAGAUCAAAUGGUGGUUGAAUCUUAGGUUGCAGUGACUGCAACCAUUUUUCAACUGCAGAGGAUCAUGGUCCCUAUUUAUGUAUCUGUGGUGUUUGAGUCUAUUUACAUAUGUAUGCUAGAAAUGAAGGUCUUAAAAAGUAUAUAUCUGAAUUUUAAAUUUUUCUCUCUUGACAUCAGAAGAUAAUAUUUUUCUUUGCUUAGUGGACUAUACUAGCACUAAUACAUUGAAUCCUAUUAAAAAACUGUUGUGAGCUUUAGUAAGGGUAAUGCUAGGAUAAAUACUGUUAUUAGAGUGAAUGUUUUUGAUAUUGGGUCUUACCAUGCACUGUCUUAAGACCAGGUACUGUGUCUGUUGGAGGAAAUUUGGAUUCUUGGUAAACCAAUAAACAGAUUGUUGUUAAGAUCAAGGUUGAAACUAAGUGCUAUUGCAAAAGUUACUUAUGUGUUUAUGUGGAUUUGACAACUUCCAAAACACUGAUUUUGCUCUUGCUUCUCCUUUGAGAUUAUGGUUUGACAAUAAAGUCGCACGAUUUUAUCGGAUUAUGGCCUCAAUAAUUGUACAUUUAGGAGAAUACAGUGGUUAACUGAAUUCGUCUGCUCAUGCUAAUAUUUUUUCCCACGAAGUUAACUUGCUGUCACUAUAGCAGCUAUAACAUAACCCCUGAUUGGUGUUGUGCCACACUCAGACUGGUUGGAGUGUUUCAGAUUGGUGUAGUGGCUGCUAUAAUGGGGAGGGAAACAGGAGCGUUUAACGGUGGAAGCAAAGUAGAGUGGCUGCUACAGCACAAAUGUGACAAAAUGGUGAUUUACAAUUUUGUUAUAAUUAACUAUUAACAUGCUUACAUUAAUUGCUUAAAGAAGAUAUAUGAUAUAUCCCUGUCCCAUUUCGAUACAAACUUUUCAACGUGAUCUUUUGAUUGUUCAGAAGAGAAUAUACAAAGCUAACAUGCGAGUUUGUCUUUACUUUUCAAAAGUAAUUAACUGAUGGAGUGAUUUGUUACAUUUACUAGCUGAAAUACGCUACAGAUUUUUUAUUGUCAUGUUUCUUCCAUAGUUCACAACAACAUUUUUAUACAGUGGAUUUUGUCAUGUAUCUUGAAUCUUGAUAGCAGGUUCAUAGU